rnacentral:rRNA from 1 species
ACUCCUACGGGAGGCAGCAGUGGGGAAUAUUGCACAAUGGGGAAACCCUGAUGCAGCCAUGCCGCGUGUGUGAAGAAGGCCUUCGGUUGUAAAGCACUUUCAGUAGGGAGGAAGGUAGUGUAGUUAAUACCUGCAUUAUUUGACGUUACCUACAGAAGAAGCACCGGCUAACUCCGUGCCAGCAGCCGCGGUAAUACGGAGGGGUGCGAGCGUUAAUCGGAAUUACUGGGCGUAAAGCGCAUGCAGGCGGCCUGUUAAGUCAGAUGUGAAAGCCCGGGGGCUUAACCUCGGAAUUGCAUUUGAAACUGGCAGGCUAGAGUCUUGUAGAGGGGGUAGAAUUUCAGGUGUAGCGGUGAAAUGCGUAGAGAUCUGAAGGAAUACCAGUGGCGAAGGCGGCCCCCUGGACAAAGACUGACGCUCAGAUGCGAAAGCGUGGGGAGCAAACAGGAUUAGAUACCCUGGUAGGACAAG